rnacentral:lncRNA from 1 species
CUUCCUCCUCAUCUUCACAGCUCCUGUGUCCUCCUUCUAAUUUAUUCUGUCUGAGGAUUCUACCUCAGUCCCUGGGGUUUGGGACUACCGAGGCAGCCCUGGCGCACCUUGUCCUCCAUCCUUUUUAUCUCACGACGUUCCAGAUAUUGCACACCACAUGGAGGUCUGGCCUGUCCUAUUCUGGGGAUGGAGACCUGUGGCCUGUGUGACAUGAGGCAAUGGAGUAGGGGGCCAGCCUGGAGCAGCCAAGGUCUCUGCUGUCCCGUCACAGGGUCUACUAAGAACAUGCAGCCCAGAGAGCAUCUCUUCACUAGACCUGGUGACCUUGGAAGUGGGCCUGAUACCCAAGUUCCCUGCCACACAUCCCCCUGGGAGCUGGAACAUGUGUUACCAGUGCUAUGUUUCCUGAUUGUGGUGUUGGGGCAGGUGGCGUGUGGGAGCCUGGGUAAUGUUAUUAAGCUUGAGCCCAGCUCUAUUCUUUUCCCUGGCCUUAGCCCAUCCGCUGCUGAUGGCCUCAUGGUGGGACCUGCUCCCCCCAUGGGAGGAGCCUGCAGGGGGCAUCCCCAGACUUCUUCCCGUCCCUGGUGGUUGAUCUUU